AUAUAUAAUAAGCCAUUACAUGCAAUACCACAAGAUAAAAGCAAGUUUCCAACAGGGGCAUUUCGUAUUAAUGGUUGACCACUUCCGAUUGACAUUCUCCGGUGCAUAACGGGCAGGUGGCAAUCAAUUCCAUGAGAUUACUAUUAAACACAAUGAACUUUUCUUCUUGAAUUGGGCCAGCAUCUU